ensembl:lncRNA
AUUUCCGGCUUGUCAUUAAAAUAAAUCACUGGUUAGGGUUUUGUUAAAAACAUUAAUUUAUUUAUUUAAAUAAAAGCACUACAUUUGCAUAUUGGAAGCAGAUUGGCUGUUGUAUCUGGUUGUGUGAUAACACUUGCCCGUCACAUGUUCAGUACUAACUGAGGAUUUUCUCUCUCCACAGUAUAACUACACGUUUGCAAUAGAAGAACAGGCUGCCAUGAGACCCCGCUCCUAGGUCAAGAAACCAACAAACAAGAAACAUAUACACAUCCCAUCUGGGUACAAGACUGCAGCCAGAAUUCCUUUUGAUUUAUUCUAUAUAAUAUCCAGUUAUUUUUAAGUGCAUAUCUUUUCAUUUAUUUUAAUUAAUAUACUAUGAUACACUGAUAUGUGAAGAACGUGUAGAGCAAAUACAGAAAACAAAAAUAGAAGAUAAAUAAUACACUCUCUCUCUCUCUCUCACACACACACACACACACACACACACACACACACACACACUUGUAUGUAUACCUAUGUGAAGUGUAUUUUAUCAUAUAUUUUGCAGUGAAGGAAAUGGCUAUUUUUGUUCUUUAGUGUACGUCACAUUUUAAUGUAUUAAGAAGGACUUAAGAUUCUUAUUCUGGAAUAUUUCUUAGUUUUUUAAUUGAAAACUGGUGUAAUCUAAAACCAAUUCAUAUAUAAAAUGUGUUUAUCGAAAAUCAAAACCUGAAUGAUGAUGCAUUUUAUUUGAUAUUCUCAGCUAUAACCUAUAUAUUUUUAAUGUUUAUAUCAGAUGGGUCCAACUAUUAUUUGAAUUACUUUUUUCUUUCUUUCUUUCUUUUUUUCUGGCCAAAAUACAGUAAAAUACAGCGUGUUUUAUGAAGUUUUAUAGAAUAUUAAAAUCCUGCCGUAGUGUUUGUGAGGUUUCUAAUACUUCUUAAUGCUUCUUUAUUUUGGUUGUGGUUUAUAAUUGCAUUUAUGAUGAUUUAAACAUUUGUAUUUAUUCUUAUACUUUUUUAUGUUAGGACCAAACUUCAAAGGGUGUUUAAAAUUUUUUUUUAAAAUAUCCAUAAUAAAUUUCUGUCUGUAUUAAAUGUACGUUUGUGCUUUGGAAUGAUAUUUCUCUGUUAGACUUUGUAAGGUUAAAUAAUAAAUUAUGAAGUAUAUAAUUAUUUAUAAUAAUUAUAAUAAGGACAUGAAUAAAUAAUAAUACACAUUUGGACGUUUAUUAUUUAUCAGUAUCAU